UCAACACAGUUUUAAGAGAUGGAAGAAACCCAAAGAAUUUGGCGGAUGUUAUUAUAGCUGGUUUUCCUGCCAAACAGGUUAGGGUAUUGCCAACUUCUGGGAGUAAGCCAGAUUUGGAAAUUGAUUGCUACUAUUGACUGUUGCCAUUUAUUGAAGCCUGCCUGGUGGGUUUUUUUUUUCACUCCUCCCUUAAACAGAGGUACUAGAACUCCACCCUUAAACAGAGGUACUAGAACUCCUGAUAAAUUGUAACAGGAGAUGAAGCUCUUGAUGUCAAUACGGAGGGCGGGGCAGGUUUGGUGAUUGGAGCAUAUCUUUUUUUGGGUUAUGAAAUACAGACCCAAAAGGGGAAAACAAAUCCACCUCUUAAGGAAAUGAUGUCUCCCCGUAAUUAUAAUGGUAAUAAUAACUGUGGCAUUUGUUAAGUGUUUACUAUGUGCCAAGCACUGUACUAAGCAUCGGGGUAGUUAAUAGAUGAUCAGGUCCCACAUGGGGCUCACAUUCUAGGUAGGAGGGAGAACAAGUUUUGAAUCCCCAUUUUGCAGAUGAGGGAAAUGAGACACACGGAAGUGAAGUGACUUGCCUAAGGUCACACUGCACACAAGUGAAGGACUGAGGAUUAGAAUCCAGUUCCUCUGACUCCCAGGCCCGAGCUCUUUCUUGUAGGCCACACUACUUCUCAGUGUGGUUUCCCCUUGGUUUUCCCAUGCUCCUGAGAGUCACUUCACCCAUGUCUGAGACCUGUCCCAUCCAUUGAUCAAAUCUAGUUCUGGCGCUCUUACCAGAAGGCCCAGCAUUACAGGCCCUAAAUGGCAAGGAGUGGCUGAGGGGCCACUGACAAUGCCGUAGUUAUAGAGGUUGGACACUUGCUCUGAAUUUGCCUGUGCCUUUCUCAGGAGCAGUGAUGGCAACUUUUUAGGUGACCCUAUUUUGCCUUUUUUUUUUUGGCAGGGGGGCUUAUAUUAAGCCGUUUCAGAGGACCAAGUUGUUGCUACUGUGCAGAAAGAUUCAUAAUAAUGAAAUAGCCUGCAAACCUCCCCUAGUUCUUUCUGAGAUGACCAGAAACACUGAUGAUGAAUCACCUGAUAGAAGACUCCUCUGGAAUUUCAAUCAAAACCUCUCUUUCAAUAACAGUUACAGGUAAAAGUGUUUACCUUGGUAUGAGUAUAACUUUUAU
rnacentral:lncRNA from 1 species